rnacentral:snRNA from 1 species
UAUGUGAAUCAAACAUGUU